CAGGAAUCAAGGAAUAUCAGCUGCAGAAAAUAUAUGAAGAUCAGGUGGCUAUUUUGAACAUUUUCAUAUCUUGAGGGGAUGCACCAGAAGCAAGGAAGUAACUGUUGACAAAGUGAGACGGAAGUUUGACAUAACCCAAGACAACAUGUUCGUUAAAUUUCAUAGAUGCAAAAGAGAGAAUGCUUCUGUUGCAAAACAUAGAAGUCUUCUGCAAGCAGCUGCCACGCCCAUAUCUCAGAGCCCUAGUGAGUUGUAGAGAAGUUUCAAGAGUUAGAGUAUUUCCUCUGUACAGUAACUAAAAUAAUAAAAGACCACAAUUUUUAUUCAUAAAAA